GACCAACAAUUCCAGUAAUUCCCCCAAGAGCAAGCAUUCAGUGUGACAGUGAAGGACGGCCAUCAAACGAUCCCACUGCCUUCACCAGUUUUAGAAGCUCUUGGUUCCAAA